rnacentral:rRNA from 1 species
GACGAACCGUCCAAACGUUUAUUCGGAAUCACUGGGCUUAAAGGGUGCGUAGGCGGCGCGGAAAGUUGGGUGUGAAAUCCCUCGGCUCAACCGAGGAACUGCGCCCAAAACUGCCGUGCUUGAGGGAGAUAGAGGUGAGCGGAACUUAGGGUGGAGCGGUGAAAUGCGUUGAUAUCCUAAGGAACACCGGUGGCGAAAGCGGCUCACUGGAUCUCUUCUGACGCUGAGGCACGAAAGCUAGGGUAGCGAACGGG